rnacentral:rRNA from 1 species
AACGAACGCUGGCGGCGCGUUUUAAGCAUGCAAGUCGGACGGCAAGUUGGGUAGCAAUACCUGACCUAGAGUGGCGAACGGGUGAGUAAGACGUAGGUGAUCUACCCCUGGAUGGGGGAUAGUCCGUGGAAACACGGGGUAAUACCGCAUGAGGCCCUGGGGGUAAAGCCCUGGGGUGAAAGGUCCAAUUGGACCGUCUGGAGAUGAGCCUGCGGCCCAUUAGGCAGUUGGCGGGGUAAUGGCCCACCAAACCGACGAUGGGUAGCCGGCCUGAGAGGGUGUACGGCCACACUGGAACUGAGACACGGUCCAGACUCCUACGGGAGGCAG